CCGAAAUUGGAUCUUUAAGCUUGUUUUUGUUCCAACAAUGGUGGGUGGUGAAAAAUCCAAGAGCAAACAAGUUGCCAAGAGACGCAAGGACGAUUAUGGAGAUAAUACGGAGUUCAUAUCAACCCACUUUCAACAUCUACCUCUUCAGAAACGGUUUCAUGACAAUUUUAUGUCGAGGUCGGUUAUCGCUCCCUAUUUUGUCAAUCUUCGUAAUUUGAAGAAUUUAUGUUUCUCUCUCUUCAUUUUCAACCUUCCUUUAGCCCAUUUUUAAUUCAAUCUACAUCAUAAAUUACCUUCAUUCAUCUCUAGGAUUGAUUUUCUUGCCUCAAACAAAUCCAUUUCACUCAAUUUUUUUUUUAAACCCGAAAUUGGAUCUUUAAGCUUGUUUUUGUUCCAACAAUGGUGGGUGGUGAAAAAUCCAAGAGCAAACAAGUUGCCAAGAGACGCAAGGACGAUUAUGGAGAUAAUACGGAGUUCAUAUCAACCCACUUUCAGCAUCUACCUCUUCGGAAACGGUUUCACGACAAUUUUAUGUCGAGGUCGGUUAUCGCUCCCUAUUUUGUCAAUCUUCGUAAUUUGAAGAAUUUAGAAAUAUGUGACAAAUCUCUUAGUUAUUUUCUCAUUGCUAUGGGCUGGAAAAAUGUUUUAGUUAUUAAGGAGCAAUACUAUGAAAAUUUAGUUAAGGUGUUUUAUUCGAAUAUGAUUAUGGGAUCCUCGGAUAGAAUUGUUACAAGUGUUGGGGGAAUUCAUAUUGAAUUUGAUGAUUGAUGAUUAUAUGUGUGUCGCUUGAAGAAUUGAUGGAGUUGUUGAUUUGUUAUAAUUGUUUAAGCUUAUAUGAAAGUGUUUUUAACCAUGUUGUGUAUUUGAGGAUUUGUUCAUUUUUAAGGGGAGACUCUGCCAAAAUUUUUUGCUCGCACAAAAUGGGUAAUAUCUUCAUCGAAUUAUUUUUGAUGAUCUUGUUUCGAAUUGCAUCUUUCUAUCUUUUAUUUUUUAUGAUAAAGG
rnacentral:lncRNA from 1 species